GGACGGGGCCCGCACAAGCGGUGGAGCAUGUGGUUUAAUUCGAUGCAACGCGAAGAACCUUACCUAGACUUGACAUCCCGGGAAUUCUUAGGAAACUAAGAAGUGCCUUUCGGGGAGCCCGGUGACAGGUGCUGCAUGACUGUCGUCAGCUCGUGUCGUGAGAUGUUGGGUUAAGUCCCGCAACGAGCGCAACCCUUGUCUUUAGUUGCCAUCAUUAAGUUGGGCACUCUAAAGAGACUGCCGGUGUCAAACCGGAGGAAGGUGGGGAUGACGUCAAGUCCUCAUGGCCUUUAUGUCCAGGGCUACACACGUGCUACAAUGGGCGGAACAAAGGGUUGCAAUACCGCAAGGUGGAGCUAAUCUCAAAAAACCGCUCUCAGUUCAGAUUGGAGUCUGCAACUCGACUCCAUGAAGGCGGAAUCGCUAGUAAUCGCGGAUCAGCACGCCGCGGUGAAUACGUUCCCGGGCCUU
rnacentral:rRNA from 1 species